rnacentral:lncRNA from 1 species
GGGGGACAUUUUGGGUUCUGAGGCCCUGGACGUGGGGACUGGAGCCCUCUCUGGGGUGGGCAUAAGAGCAGAAGCCCUCUCUGGGCUUCAUUUGGGAACAGAGUCCUUCUCUGUGCUUGACGUGGGAACUGGAGCCCUUUCUGGAGCGGACUCAGGGGCUGGAGCCCACAGUCUCUUCCUCCGCAUUCUCCUCUUUUGAGCAGAGGUGAAGGAGACUGCUUCUGUCAGCUGAGGGCUUGGAAGUGAAUCGGCCGGGAAAUAGAAAUAGAAAUCUUUUGUACCAUUUUAAAUGACUUUACUGUCAUUUUUGAUCACUUUAAUGUGUCCUUGAUUAAUAAAAGUAUCAAUUAUACGGUCUCAAACUUCUGAACGGUAGUGUAUGAAUGUUCCAGUUCUUGCUGUUUUCACUGUCAUUAUCACUGCUCGCUUCAGUGUGUGUCUCUGAUUGGUCAAUAGGCAGCGGUGGGUGUGGCCCAGAUAAUCAGAGCGUCAGUGACAUCAUUAACCUCGAGAUGUUGCAACUUGGAUCCAAACUGAAAUCAAGUAACACACAGUCAGGCUGGUCCUGUCCUUCCUGUACAUUCAUAAAUACGUCUACGAGACCCGGCUGUGAAAUCUGCAGCACAGAUCGACCCAAUCCUCCCAAUCACAGCAGCGUUCAGCAGGUGAUUCACUCACACCUGCACCUGCUCACUGUGCUGAACACUCUGUGUGCUGAUGAUUAUUCUCUUUCUGUUUUAGGAAAAAGCAAGAAGAGCGAACCAGUGAAACUCAGCAUACCAAGAUAUUUUGGACAAUGCUUUGCUCUAGCUUUAUGGGAUCAGUUUGAGGAAGGUUCUCUUCUAUUCCAGCAUGACUGUGCCUCAGUGCACAAAGCAAGGUCCAGAAAGACAUGGCUGGAUGAGUCUGG